GUAGUUAGCCGGAGCUUAUUCAACAGGUACCGUCAUUAUCGUCCCUGUUAAAAGAAGUUUACAACCCGAAAGCCUUCUUCCCUCACGCGGCGUUGCUGGGUCAGGCUUGCGCCCAUUGCCCAAUAUUCCCCACUGCUGCCUCCCGUAGGAGUCUGGACCGUGUCUCAGUUCCAGUGUGGCCGAUCAGCCUCUCAGCUCGGCUACCCAUCGCGGACUUGGUGGGCCGUUACCCCGCCAACUAUCUAAUGGGACGCGAGCCCCUCCUUCUGCGGAUUGCUCCUUUGACCUCUCUCCGAUGCCGGAAUGUGGUCUUAUGCGGUAUUAGCACCCGUUUCCGUGUGUUAUCCCCCUCAAAGGACAGGUUGCUCACGCGUUACUCACCCGUUCGCCACUAGGCAAAACCGAAAUUCUUGCCCCGUUCGACUUGCAUGUGUUAGGCACGCCGCCAGCGUUCGUCCUGAGCCAUAAUCAAACUCUGA
rnacentral:rRNA from 1 species